GGAGUGGCGAAAUUGGUAGACGCACCAGAUUUAGGUUCUGGCGCCGCAAGGUGUGCGAGUUCAAGUCUCAGCCAUAUUCU
rnacentral:tRNA from 1 species